rnacentral:rRNA from 1 species
GAUGAACGCUAGCUACAGGCUUAACACAUGCAAGUCGAGGGGUAACGAGAGGAAAGCUUGCUUUCCUUGUCGACGACCGGCGCACGGGUGAGUAACGCGUAUCCAACCUGCCCCCAACUAGGGAAUAACCUUGCGAAAGUAAGACUAAUACCCUAUAAUUUCCUCAGAUGUCAUCUGACGAGGAAUAAAGAUUUAUCGGUUGUGGAUGGGGAUGCGUCUGAUUAGCUUGUUGGCGGGGUAACGGCCCACCAAGGCAACGAUCAGUAGGGGUUCUGAGAGGAAGGUCCCCCACAUUGGACCUGAGACACGGUCCAAACUCCUACGGGAGGCAGCAGGGAGGAAUAUUGGUCAAGGGGCGGAAGCCUGAACCAGCAAAGAAGCGUGCAGGAUGACGGCCCUAUGGGUUGUAAACUGUUUUUAUACGGGAAUAAAGUUAGCCACGUGUGGUUAUUUGUAGGUACUGUAUGAAUAAGGACCGGCUAAUUCCGUGCCAGCCGCCGCCGUAA